rnacentral:lncRNA from 1 species
AGUAGAGACAGGGUUUCACCAUGUUGGCCAGGAUGGUCUCAAUCUCUUGACCUUGUGAUCUGCCUGCCUCAACCUCCCAAAGUGCUGGAAUUACAAGUGUGAGCCACCGCGCCCAGCCCCAUUUCUUAUUUGGUCUGGCCAUCUUCUAAAGAGUUUGAACCUACUGAAGAACUAUCUUGACUGUCUUGAUGAGGGAGCUGAAGAAAUCCUUCACUGGAGUCUGAGCGGAAGUGGAAUCUAUUUUCCUUCUUCUUGAAUUUGGAAUGCUUUUGGCCAAGAGAAAGAGGUGGAAGUGAUGGUGUAACAGUUCCAAGUCUAGGCCUCAAGUUGCCUGUGGACUUCCACUCAGACUCUCAGAGCCCUGCUGGAGGAUGGAGAGACCACAUGGAACAGAGAAGGGUUAUCCCACCGAGGCCACCAUAGACCAGCCAGCCCUCAGCGUACAUGCCAGCUAAUUACAGAUGCAGGAGCAAACCCCUGGCCCAUACAUCAAUUUUAAUGUCAUUGAAUACAGAGAACAAAUCUCAUUCACUUUGGUAUCGGCUGGAGUCAACAAACAUUUAAAAAUCAUUUACUGCGUCUGAUUUUGGGUAUGUUGAAUUGGUGACGUCUGAGUUGCUUCUGGUCUAUCCUGAUAGAAACAUACAGUAAACAGAGAAAAAAAAGGAUCUCAGGUGAGAUGAUGUAUGGGAAUGCUCAGCAUACAGAAUGAAUGGAUAAGAGGCCUGAAAACAUAAUCCUGUAAACAACCAUAUUGAAAGAGAAGACAGAAGACAUCAAACAGAUUUUGAGUCUUGCUCUAUGGCCCAGACUGGAGUGCAGUGGCGUGAUCUCAGCUCACUUCAACCUCCACCUCCCGGGUUCGAGAGAGAUUCUCCUGCCUCAUCCUCCCGAGUAGCUGGGAUCACCGGCGCCCACAACCACACCCGGCUAAUUUUUGUACUUUUAGUGGAGACAGGGUUUCACCAUGUUGGCUAGGCUGGUCACAAACUCCCGACCUCAGGUUAUCCAUCUGCCUUGGCCUCCCAAAGUGCUGGGAUUACAGGCGUGAGCCCCCGCACCUGGCCAAGAUCAGCUAGAUUUUGGAAGCAUUGCCUUCUACAGAAUCCACAGUAGUCCGAAGCUCUUCUACGGUUUUUGUCAAACUUUGAUUUUCCAUCUCUAGCUUCAAUAAUCUACUUGAUGUCAACUCAUUCACCUCAUGGCCCAGGGAUUUCUGGGGUGCUAUAAUAUUGAAAAAUACACCAUUGUAUUUACUCUUUACUGUUUUUACUAUGUUUACUCUUUACUAUUUAAAAAGUUGAGUGUAUAUGCAUUGCAUCAUCUGAUCCUUAACUUUAUUAAAAAUUCAAUGAGGUUAUAUAAGAUAAACAAGAUAAAAGAAGUAAAUCUUUUUUUUCCUUUUCUUUUUUUCUUUUUUUUAAAGAGACGGGGUCUCUCUCUGUCACCCAGGCUGGAGUGCAGUGAUGUGCUCCUAGCUCACUGCAGCCUCAAACGCCUGGUCUGAAGGGAUCCUCCCACCUCAGUCUCCCAAGCGGCCGGGACUGCAGAUGAGGAAAUUAACUGAGAAAGAAGAUACAAGACCUGCCAAAUUCUUUUUUUUUGUUUUGUUUGAGACAGAGUCUCACUCUGUCGCCCAGGCUGUAGUGGCGCGAUCUCGACUCACUGCAACCUCCACCUCCUCGGUUCAAGCGAUUCUCCUGCCUCAGCCUCCUGAGUAGCUGGGCUUACAGGCAUGCGCCACCAUGCCCAGCUAAUUUUUGUAUUUUUAAUAGAGACGGGGUUUUGCCACACUGGCCAGGCUAGUCUCGAACCCCUGACCUCAGGUGAUCUACCCACCUUGGCCUCCCAAAGUGCUGGGAUUACAGAAGUGAGCCACUGUGCCCAGCCUGACCUGUCAAAUUCCUGUCAAACUCAACUUCAUGUAACACUGAACUGUAACUAUCAAGUUAGAAUAUUUUUUUCAUUUGUUUGCAUAUAUAUAGACUUCAUUAAUCUUAAUUUAGUGAUCUCAGUUAAGAAGCAAUCUGAAAUAUGUUUUGCUUUCACUUUUGGAAAAAAGUCUGAAAUAGAAGUAAAUAUUUUGACUACAAGGGAAGGACUUCAAAGGUCUGCUCUAUAUAUGAUGCUAAGAAAAGGAAUAAAAGAAGAACCCCAGAGUUCAAUAAAAUUAGUAAUAUCCAUAGAUCCCUUUUGUAAAAGUCUAACUAAAAGCAAUAUGCUAAUCUAUCAUAAAAUAAACA